GGCGCGCGGCCGCGGCGGGGGCGGGGCUUGACCGGCACCUGCAGGCGCUGGCGGCUACGGCGCGGCUGCUGAGGCUCCGCCCCCCGCUGCUGGAGGAGGUCCUCAGCCAACCCUGGGCUCUGGCGUCAAGCCCCGCCCCUAGGGCGGAGCCUCCGCUCUUGCCCCGCCCCCUGUACCCGGGGGGGGCGGGCUUCGCACCGCCCCAUCGCGAUGCCUACGGGGUCUCCUACGCCCAGGGCAGGGGCGGCUCCAUCCUGUUCCAUGUGUCCUGUCGAGCCUCCAGCCCCAUAACAGAUGCUCGACGCUUCGCUGCCCAGAUCAAGGCUGCACUGGGGGAACUGGGGGAGCUGCUGGGGGGGGGGGCUGAGGAGUGAAGGGGGAGAGCCCCC